UGUGGGAGCUGGCUUGCCUGCGAUAGCAAUAGGUCAGUUACCCAUGUGCUGGCUGAUCCACCGCUAUCGCAGGCAAGCCAGCUCCCACA
rnacentral:misc_RNA from 1 species